rnacentral:lncRNA from 1 species
CGCCCCGGGCAGCGGGCCAGGGCCGGCUGAGGGCCUGCGGCCGCUCCCGCACGGCGGAUCCAGCCGUGGCCAUGGGCUCUCGGCGGAGGGCUGAGUGCGGGGGGAUGCCGGGCACGGCUCGCAGCCCGCAGCCCCAGCGCUGGCNNNNNNNNNNNNNNNNNNNNNNNNNNNNNNNCCGUGGCGCGGCCGCUCCGCCGCGGGCUCGGAGCGCGGAGGAGGAGGAGGAGGAGGAAGAAGAGGAGGCUGCUCGGGUAGGCGGCCGAGCUGCCGGGAGCUGCUGGCUGUCCCCAGCCCGGUGCGCGUCCCCCCGGGGGUGCCGAGCUCCGGCCGCUCUCUGGGGACGGGCAGGGGCGGCUGCUGCCUCUCCCUUGCCCGGGCGGGCAGCGGGGCCCGGAGCGGGCCCAGCGCCGGCGCCAGAGUGUUCGAGCAGAAGAAAGUCUUCAUUGUGUUGAGUCACAUGCGGUCAGUAGAGGAGUCAUCUGUGCCAUGGGAACCUUCAGGUGAUGCGAGAAACAAGCGGGGAAUCCCUUCCACUUCUCCGGGAUCCUGCAAAUGCCUUUCAAAUUAGCCAGCUCUGAGGAUCAGUGCCAGGCUCUACAAGGCGUUCCCAAAGCCUGCAGCCAGUAAAACUUUGUGUAGGUAAAAUUAGCUAAAGACCUUCUACUGAGAGAGCAGCCUUUGUUGUCACAUGUGGUGGAGUUCCAGGAUCUGUAACUAUUUUUCUUAAAAGGUUUUUCUGCUGCCCCAGUGAAUGCAUUACGCUACAGUAGCUCUGAAAUGGUAUAUCGCUUAUUUCCUUCAAAGCAGCGGCCGGUUGUUUCUUCAGGGACCCCAAGUCCUUUCAAGGGAGGGGAAAAAGUGAUGGCUGAACGGGACCGAAUCGCGCCGACAAAUACUUAUUUUAAACCAGCAUCAUCUCCAAAGGGCGCAGCCCCUGGGAGCGCGGCGGGUGCCGGGCGGGCCGAGAGGGGCUCAGCCCGGGGAAGAUCCGACUGGGGCGAGCGGGAGCCGGGACAGCUCGGUGGCCUCAGCCCUUCUCCGUCGGAGAGGGAAGGCAAAGCCCCGGCCACCGGCCGCGGGGACGCGCCGGGGC